rnacentral:rRNA from 1 species
AACGAACGCUGGCGGCAGGCCUAACACAUGCAAGUCGAACGCCGUAGCAAUACGGAGUGGCAGACGGGUGAGUAACGCGUGGGAACCUUCCCAGUGGUACGGAAUAGCUCAGGGAAACCUGGGGUAAUACCGUAUACGCCCUUCGGGGGAAAGAUUUAUCGCCAUUGGAUGGGCCCGCGUCGGAUUAGCUAGUUGGUGGGGUAAUGGCCCACCAAGGCGACGAUCCGUAGCUGGUCUGAGAGGAUGAUCAGCCACACUGGGACUGAGACACGGCCCAGACUCCUACGGGAGGCAGCAGUGGGGAAUAUUGGACAAUGGGCGCAAGCCUGAUCCAGCCAUGCCGCGUGAGUGACGAAGGCCUUAGGGUUGUAAAGCUCUUUUGGCGGGGAAGACAAUGACGGUACCCGCAGAAUAAGCUCCGGCUAACUUCGUGCCAGCCGCCGCGGUAAGAC